GCAGGUCAGGUUGGAGAGGGUGCCCGUGGCACAGGUGAGGACGUUGACAUCAUCCACGCUCAGCUGAUUGACCAGGAUCUUCAGCACGUUCUCCAGGCCCUCCUGGGACGGAAGGGAAGAGCACGAAGGCUCCUAGGAAAUCACCUGGCCUAACUGGACACAGAGAGGUUCCUCCCAGCACAGCCAAGAAGGAGACCUGGGACACAGAGGCUCAGUUCAUAGAGCCCUAACCAGUCACAACUCAUCCUGCAACUGUCCAGGCCUCAAAUCCCAUCUUCUGGGACAUUUAGGGCCCUGGGGGCAUCUGCAAAUGACAGUCCUAAAGCCAUGUGCACCUUUGUCCCAGAAGGGAAUGGGACACUUGGACUGGUAGAGUAUUUGCCUUUGUGAUGGGACCCCACAACUGAAUCAGCUCCCCCAUGCCUGUCCUCAGUACAGUGCUAGCCCAGUCUAAGCUUGAACACUGUGACUCUUCCACCAGACUGGGGGGUGGGGCAAGUUGUUCCCUGUCUUUCUCAUCAGACAUGAAGUUUCUGGAGUGAAAAGAAUAUGUCUUUCCAGUAAUCUCCAGGUCUCUCCAACCCCCACCCCAAGGGCUAUCAAUAAAAUCUCCUUAUUACAUUUCUAAGACCCCAGAAGCCAAGAACUCUGGGCUCCAAUGGCACCCUGUGACGUCCAACACAUUCGGAAUUCA